AGAGUUUGAUCCUGGCUUAGGAUGAACGCUGGCGGCGUGCUUAACACAUGCAAGUCGAACGGAGUUUUUAAACGGAAGUUUUCGGAUGGAAGUUUAAGAACUUAGUGGCGGACGGGUGAGUAACGCGUGGGUAACCUGCCUCAUACAGGGGGAUAACAGUUAGAAAUGACUGCUAACACCGCAUAAUAUAGUGAAACCGCAUGAUUUUUGCUAUCAAAUAUUUAUAGGUAUGAGAUGGGCCCGCGUCUGAUUAGCUAGUUGGUGGGGUAAAAGCCUACCAAGGCGACGAUCAGUAGCCGGCUUGAGAGAGUGACCGGCCACAUUGGGACUGAGACACGGCCCAAACUCCUACGGGAGGCAGCAGUGGGGAAUAUUGGACAAUGGGGGAAACCCUGAUCCAGCGAACCGCCGCGUGAGUGAAGAAGUAUUUCGGUAUAUAAAGCUCUAUCAGCAGGGAAGAUAAUGACAGUACCUGACUAAGAAGCCCCGGCUAACUACGUGCCAGCAGCGGC
rnacentral:rRNA from 1 species